rnacentral:rRNA from 1 species
GACGAACGCUGGCGGCGUGCCUAAUACAUGCAAGUCGAGCGAAGUUUUUCUGGUGCUUGCACUAGAAAAACUUAGCGGCGAACGGGUGGGUAACACGUAAAGAACCUGCCUCAUAGACUGGGACAACUAUUGGAAACGAUAGCUAAUACCGGAUAACAGCAUUAACUGCAUGGUUGAUGUUUAAAAGUUGGUUUUGCUAACACUAUGAGAUGGCUUUGCGGUGCAUUAGCUAGUUGGUGGGGUAAAGGCCUACCAAGGCGACGAUGCAUAGCCGACCUGAGAGGGUGAUCGGCCACACUGGGACUGAGACACGGCCCAGACUCCUACGGGAGGCAGCAGUAGGGAAUCUUCCGCAAUGGGCGAAAGCCUGACGGAGCAACGCCGCGUGAGUGAAGAAGGAUUUCGGUUCGUAAAGCUCUGUUGUUAGGGAAGAAUGACUGUGUAGUAACUAUACACAGUAGAGACGGUACCUAACCAGAAAGCCACGGCUAACUACGUG